rnacentral:lncRNA from 1 species
AAUGGUGCCAAUAUGAUAUUCUUCUGAGGCAUCAUUCUCUAGAGGCCAAACUAGAUGGGUAAUUACAAAAGUUGUAAAUGGCUAAAGCGUUAUCCUCUCGUCAUUAUUGUUGCUAGCCAAUAUGAUAUUCUUCUGAGGUGGGCUUGGUAAUAGUGAGUCUCCCAUACCUUACUAAGAGUUUCCUCCAAAACUCUCGAAUUCCAAUGAGGGAUAUGGAAUUUGCCAAAAAUAGUGGGUGGUGCUAUUUGAUUUAAAGACCCGAAUCAAAUGGCUUAAAAUCAAUCAAUUUAUAUUCAUUAUGUAUUUGUUUACCAAUAUAUUUGCAAACGUUAUCCAAAACUUGACUAAGAAAAUCCGAAUGCUUUAGUUUCCAGACUUGGUACAACAAUCCCAAAGAUUGUCUUAAAUGGAUUGUAUAUGUACCUAACUAGUCUAAUCCUCACAAUCUUCCUAUUGAUAAUGUAUCAUUGGAAGAACAUGUUAGAUAAGUCUAUCAUAAAGAG